AAACCAGCACCUCAAGUGGUCAGGAUGAUUAUUGGGCCUAAAGCAUCCGUAGCCUGAUCUGUAAGUUUUCGGUUAAAUCUGUACGCUCAACGUACAGGCCGCCGGGAAUACUGCAGAUCUAGGGAGUGGGAGAGGUAGACGGUACUCGGGAGGAAGUGGUAAAAUGCUUUGAUCUCUCGAUGACCACCUGUGGCGAAGGCGGUCUACCAGAACACGUCCGACGGUGAGGGAUGAAAGCUGGGGGAGCAAACCGGAUUAGAAACCCGAGUAGUCC
rnacentral:rRNA from 1 species